UUAGAUUCUUUUCAGUUUAGGUUUUGUAGAUUUUCUUUGUUCAGCAAUAAAGCUGUUUUGAGUUCACCGUUUUGUCUCCGGAGUCUGCACCUUGGGUCCUAUUCCUGUCUGCACUCAGCCGUAACAUGACAGUAGGGGCUUUUGCCAUAAAGACUCAGUCACCUCUGUGAGUUAUAAUUCGGACCUUAGGUCAGGUUAGGAGCAUCUGCUCAGCAGACCUCAGUGGGAGUGCGCAAAGUUAAAAGAUGAGAGAGUAUGACGGUCUUUUGUGGCCAUGGUCCAGCAGGCCGUUCUUCACGGAUGAGCGGCGGUAGGGAUGUCGAUUAAUGGAUGACCUCAUGCUGUCUCCCCGGCGAAGAUGUUCGUCCUGAUCGCUGCCGUUUGCCAUCUUGGUGAGAGACCCGACCCGGUGUAUCAGACCUCCGUUAGAGACGCCGCCGUCACCCACAACACCGCCCUGACCUGCAAAAGGAGGUCUUCGUUCAGAGCCAAGCGCAUCUCUGGACCCAGAUCCUGCAGAGUCUUCAGACCAGCUUUACAGAGCUACACGGAAACACAAAUAAAUUCAUGAAGACAUACUCGCUGUAACAGCAUCAUACACAAAUACAGUUCCCAGUUUUUUUCCUAAAGGCAUCCUCGGGCUUUGGUUGGAAUCUAAUUCAGUUUUAAAAGCUCCUUCUCAAAAGCAUCACAACUGAUGACCGAAUUAAUGAGGGAAUUGUGUUUGCAAGUUAAACAGAUAUUCCAGAUGUGCUUUCAUGAUCUUUCUGAGGUGGUCCAAGGCAAGAGGAGCUAUAUAAUCUCUCGAGCGACCUCUGGGUCUUCUAAAGGGUUUCCACCAAGUUGGGUGUGUCUGGAAAACCUCCAAAGAUGUCCAAGAGGAAUUUUUACCUGAUGCUCUCACCACCUCAACUGGGUUCUUUCUGUUCAAAGGAGCAAUAAUUCUAUUGCAAGCUACCUUUGGAUGUCUUGGCUCCUCACCUCAUCUCUAAAGUUGACCUACCCACCCUACAGAAGAAACUCAUUUCAGCCACUUUUCUCUGCAGCCUUGUUUUUUCACUACUCAAACUCAUGAUGGUAGUUUAGUGCUCGCAUGCAGAUCAACUGGUAAACUGGAAGCUUUGCCCUCCAGUUCAGCACUCUCUUCAGCAGGAAACGAACAUCACAAAUCUUUGGGUUGAUCUCAUGCUUUACCUUCGCUUUACUCACAAACAAGACCUUUGGCUUCUUCAGUUGUUAAAAGGAACAAAACCAUGUUGGGUUACUGCUGCCUGUCUUAAUAUUGCCCCAUACUCUUGGUCUGCAUCUUGCCACUUUGCAGCCAUGCCUUCUGUCAGUAAAUAGACAGACAGACCUGGACAGCAGAUGGAUUGGGUGAGUCAUUCUCUCCGGUCAGAUCUCCUUUUUCUUUCCUCCUCCUGAACUUCCUGAAGUAGUCUUGGAUGAGGAAAGUAGCAUAAAACUUCCCAACAGUUACUUCCUCCUCUGUGGAUAAAGAAGUGAGAGUUCAGUCUGCAGGACUCCUGCUGAGACAGUAACAGUACUACGUCGUCGUGUGAGCAGCAAGAGUACCUUCAUGUGGCGGUAUGACUUCGUCCAAAAGUUUUGGCUUCAUUCUCUUCCAGAUCUUCUUGAUGAUCACCCUCAGCUCCUCGUUCUCCUGCUCAGGGUUACCUAGCAACAGGUAAAUCAGAUAAAAGUUAUGGCUACUGUGUUUACAGGCUUGUGGCUUAUUAACAGGGACUCAUUUCUAUUUUUGUAUUGAUUCAAUGAUUAAGAAUUCAAUAUUACAGAGAAGCUAUAAAUGACCAAGACAACAGAGUGUGAACUCAAAUUUAACUUUUUAAAAUUACUGCAUAACAGCAUCCUGAUCAUGAUGCAUUAGUAGCUGUCCAUUAUUGAUUUCCAGAUAGUAAAGCUAUAAAACCUAAAAGUUUUCCUCAAUAAUGUCAGCCUUUUAGGCAGAAAAGUAAAGAGGAGCCAUGAUUUCCUGAAGUCUUUAAUUUGUCCACAAUCACUCCUGUGUGUUUAUAGCAGCAGGGUCCUGCAAAGACCCAUCACAUACCUUCAGUCUUGAUUUUAAGUGCAGUGCGAACCAGAGCAAAUAACGUGGCAUUGAAGGUCACCAUCCCAUCAGCAUUCAGAGGCAUGUUCAUCGCUACCAGACGCUGAGAUGGAGAGGUGGCGACUCUGUGAGGGCAAAGCUUCCCAAAACCCAGAGGAGGCUGAAUCCUCCUCAGCAGUGCAACAACGUCCAGGUGUUUUAUUCGACCUCUGAGAAUAAAGAACAAUCAGG